AGCUGCGCGCCUGCGAUCGGGAGGGGCGGGGACGCCCUCGGCCCUGAGAUCUCGCCCGGGGCGCCCCCUCCCCAGCGCCCAUCCACUCCUGGAAAUCAAGAGGGCCCCUGGGUAUUGUUCUUCCUACCUCCAGCUUGGGGUCUGGGGGCUCAGGAGGCCCUCUCCUCAAGAUGCGGGGUCGGGGGUCUCCUGACCCCCCAGGACCCCAGGAAAGGCCUCAGCCAUUGUUCCCUUCCCUCGAAAGUCUGGAGGUCCUGGCCUCUGGAAGCCUCUCCCUCGACUCCGGAAGGGUCCCAGGGAUUUCUUCUCCCUCCUUCCAGCUGCGAAAUGGGAAAGGAGGCAGCCGCAGCCUCUGGGAUCCUGUCCCAGAAACGACCGGCAGUUCCACAGCCGGGAUGCGGCGCUCUGUCCUGGUCAGGAACCCGGGCCACAAGGGCGUGAGGCCCACCUAUGAAGAAAUCGACUCGGACUCGGAAGACCUGGACCCCAAACACGAAGAUCUGGACCCAGUUUCUGAAGACCCAGAGCCGGAUCCAGAAGACCUCAACACUGCCCCGGAAGACGUGGACCCCGGCUAUGAAGACCUGGACCCCACCUCUGAGGAGCCCCAAGAUCUGGACCCCAUGUCUUCAAGUUUCGAUCUCGAUCCAGACGUCAUUGGCCCUGUACCCCUGGUCCUCGACCCCGACAGCGAAGCCCUCAGUCCUGCCGCGGCAGACGUGGACCCGCUCUCCUCCAGCAUCCCUGCCGCCCCCGAGGUCCUGGCCUCCAGCCCUGCGGUGCUCCCCGCCCCAGCCAGCCCGCCCCGG
rnacentral:lncRNA from 1 species